UGGGGAGUCGACAAGCGGUAAGUCACCAGACUUUGACUCUGGCAUUCGCAGGUUCGAAUCCUGCCUCCCCAGCCA
rnacentral:tRNA from 1 species